rnacentral:pre_miRNA from 14 species
AGCUGAACACCGGGACUGGCCAGUGUUGAGAGGCGGAGACUUGGGCAAUUGCUGGACGCUGCCCUGGGCAUUGCACUUGUCUCGGUCUGACAGUGCCGGCCCUACACUGCGGAUGUGGGG